rnacentral:RNase_P_RNA from 1 species
GCGGAAGGCCGGGCGGCCGCUUGCCAUUGGCGAGAGGAAAGUCCGGACUCACCGAAGCACCGGUGCCGGGUAACGCCCGGGCAGGGCAACCUGACGGAAAGCGCCACAGAAAACAGACCGCUGUCGCACCGGAGGUGCGCCAAUGGAGACUGCGGCAGUAAGGGUGAAACGGUGGAGUAAGAGCCCACCGGGGGGCUGGCAACAGCGCCCGCAUGGCAAGCCCCACCGGGAGCAAUGCCGAAUAGGGAUCGUAGGCGCCUUCGGGCGCAGGGCUGCUUCGGCCUUGGCGAUCCGGGUUGGCAGCUAGAGCCGCGUGGCAACGCGCGGCCCAGAGGAAUGGUCGUCUGAGGGCGGGGAAACCCUCCCAAGAACAGAAUCCGGCUUACAGGCCUUCCGCGCAU